AAUGCCAUAAAAUUGAAAGUGGAGCAAAAGAUAGCUUGAGUAGAGAUGGUGAAAAGUGGACUACACUCUGAUACACAGCAGAGUACUACUACCUGCAGUCAAAUACUUCACAGCAGACGACAAUGGACGUGACUUUGAGGAAAACACACAAAAACUAAGGACACGGGAAGAGGGGACGGACGAGCCGUAAAUACCAACAAAAGAGUGUGACAAUGAAGAACUCGGACCGCCGCGGCAGGAGCGCAUGGAUGGCACAACGCGCGCCCACAUCACCACCACCAUCACCACCACCACUCACAGAAACACACUCCCGUAACAACACACUUUGAUCACGUGGGACCAAACUUGGCCGAAUAGGAGGGCGAGUCCGGGCAGUUGUACGUUUCCGACCGCCAUUACAUUACAAUGCGUGGUAGGCUGGAGGUGGGAGCGCGUAAAAGACAAGAAAACACACAGAGGGAGAGAGAGGGAGAGAGAGUCAAGACAAACACACACAUGCCACAGUCAGGACACACACUCGUUGCACUUAUUUGCCAAUAAAAGAUCAGAUAAACAGCGUGGAAGGAGCAGGAGCAGCAGCAGCAGGAGGAGGAGAGGGAAGGAGCAGAGCUGACAUCAUGCGCACAUUAGUGAGAAUUUAAUUCAAUAAUAAUCAAAGCGUUUUUUCGCAGGAGGAGGAGGAGGGAAAGGAGGAGGAGGAGGAGGAGGAGGAGGGAGAGGAGGAGGCGGGACGUGCUGUUAAAUGUGGAAAUAAAGAAAACACUGCACAGUGCAGUGGAGUGUUCGCCCCGCACACGGACGUCCGUCACUGGCUGUGAUUGUGCAUCAUUGUUGACAUUAUUAUUCCUGAUUAUUUUUCAUCUUCGUGUCUGACGUGAUCUUUAUUUUCCUCUGCGCAGGACCUGAGGUUGUUGUUGUGGCCACGACGGGACGUUUCGUCAUGAUAUAAAAACUGAAAGGAAGGAAGGAUUUUUUUUUUCUCCCUCUAACGUCCUUCCACAGGAGACUGACUGACUGACUGACUGACUGCCUGACUGACUGACUGACUGACUGCUGC